rnacentral:tRNA from 1 species
GCCUGGGUGGCUCAGUCGGUUGAGCGUCCGACUUCAGCUCAGGUCGUGAUCUCGCAGUUUGUGGGUUCAAGCCCCACAUCGGGCU